GGAUGCUGCGUUCCCACGCGCGCUUCGGGGCGGGGCGGAACGGGGCGGAACGGGGCGGGCGAUGCUUGUAGCCGGCAGUUCUCGCCUGGCAGCUCUCGGAAGUCGAUGGUAGCCGCGAUGUGGGCCGGGGUCCGCGACCUGGUGCGGACUUGGGAGCGUUCGCACGGUUCGCGAUGGCGGAGAACCGUGGGGCUUUGAGGGUUGCAGUCUGAGGCGAACCUGGGGGCUUUUGUGGACUUGUUUCUCAGGUUUUUCUUUAGUGGUGUAAUGUUAGGCAAAGCCCUGACUUCUUUUGAGUUUUCUUUCUUCUCCUUUCUAAAAUGGCUCCUGUCUAUAAUUUAUGUGACUGUGUUGUUGCAUUAACAAACUUGCCACGAUUGCUUUUGAUUGAGCUAAAGGCGACUGACAGGUUCAUUGAAAGGUUUUUUUUUCCCCGCCCAUAACCCGAAUCUUUCCAGAGCCUGCACGGGAAGGGGAAGUGCGAAUGUGUUUGGGUGAAAAUGAGACGGCGGUUGUGAAGCGCAUAGUACACAGUGGCGAGACUAGCAAAUGGGAGCCCAGCAAUGCAAACACAAUUUCCCUACUCUGAGAAAUGAGAGUAAUUGCCGUGCUGGGAAGAAGCCAUCAAUAAAGGUAAGAUGCAGAAGAAAACGUUUGCAAAUUGGGCCCGAGUUUGCAUCCCAGCUCUGCCACACCCUACAGGCUGGGGAAAAUUAGUCCAGUUCUUUAUUCUUAGCCUCGGUUUUCUAAUCAGUAAAAUUGGAAAGAUGAUAACCCAAUUCACAGGGGCUGUUGUCAAGAUUAAGAAGGAUUAGGUUUAAUUUUAUUUAUGGGAAGUACUUAACAACAGACAACUGAAAUCAUGUAAGUGCUACUGCACUAGCUAUUGUUACUCUAUACUGAUUUAUGUUCUAAUCUUUCCUGACAGGAGUAAUUAUUUACAUUGUAACUCAAAUGAAAAUGCCUUUCAUUCCUUCCUAAAUUAGUCAAACUGACGGUAGUAAAGAUACAUGACAGGAAUAAGGCAUCAGCAAAUCAUCUAGAAAGCAUAAAGUACUUAUAAGAAAGACUAAUUUUACAGUUAGUAAAUAUUAGCGUUAAUUAGGACUCACUAAAUUAGUCAACCCUAAAAGUUUGGUUCCCGUGUCCUGCUAAAGUGGAACUUCUUUUAAAAACCUGGUUUGGUUUUUUUUUUUUUUUUUUACAAAAAUUAGCAUAUG